AUGACUUUGAUCUGCGUCCUCAUCUGGACUCUCCUCUGCUGCUGUUUCACAGAGUCCAGAGGACAGUACACUCUGACUCAGCCUGGAGCAGUGAGGUCUGCUCCGGGAGGCUCCGUCUCCAUCAGCUGUAGGACCAGUCAGGAUGUUUAUGGUAGGAGCCAUUUAGCCUGGUACCAACAGAGAGAUGGAGAAACUCCUAAACUGCUCAUUUACCUUGCUAGCACUCUUCAGUCAGGGAUUCCAGGUCGUUUUACAGGCAGUGGAUCAAACUCUGACUUCACUCUGACCAUCAGUGGAGUUCAGACUGAAGAUGCAGCAGUUUACUACUGUCAGAGUCUUCACUAUCCCAACAGUCAGUGGGUGAACACACAGUGA